GACGGGGCCGCACAAGCGGUGGAGCAUGUGGUUAAUUCGACGCAACGCGAAGAACCUUACCAGGGCUUGACAUCCCCUGACCGCGUAUGAAAGUACGUUUUCACCCUCGGGUGACAGGGAGACAGGUGGUGCAUGGUUGUCGUCAGCUCGUGUCGUGAGAUGUUAGGUUAAGUCCCGCAACGAGCGCAACCCCUACGUUUAGUUGCUAACGCGUGAAGGCGAGCACUCUAGACGAACUGCCGUUGACAAAACGGAGGAAGGUGGGGAUGACGUCAAAUCAUCAUGCCCCUUAUGUUCUGGGCUACACACGUGCUACAAUGGCCGGUACAGACGGAGGCGAAGCCGCGAGGCGGUAGCAAAUCCGAAAAAGCCGGUCUCAGUUCGGAUUGCAGGCUGCAAUUCGCCUGCAUGAAGUCGGAAUCGCUAGUAAUCGCAGGUCAGCAUACUGCGGUGAAUGCGUUCCGGGCCUU
rnacentral:rRNA from 1 species